UACGUAGGGCGCAAGCGUUGUCCGGAAUUAUUGGGCGUAAAGAGCUCGUAGGCGGCUUGUCACGUCGGGUGUGAAAGACCGGGGCUUAACCCCGGUUCUGCAUUCGAUACGGGCUAGCUAGAGUGUGGUAGGGGAGAUCGGAAUUCCUGGUGUAGCGGUGAAAUGCGCAGAUAUCAGGAGGAACACCGGUGGCGAAGGCGGAUCUCUGGGCCAUUACUGACGCUGAGGAGCGAAAGCGUGGGGAGCGAACAGG
rnacentral:rRNA from 1 species